ACAGCAGCCGCCACGGUAAAACGUAGGGUGCAAGCGUUAAUCGGAAUUACUGGGCGUAAAGCGUGCGCAGGCGGUUAUAUAAGACAGAUGUGAAAUCCCCGGGCUCAACCUGGGAACUGCAUUUGUGACUGUAUAGCUAGAGUACGGCAGAGGGGGAUGGAAUUCCGCGUGUAGCAGUGAAAUGCGUAGAUAUGCGGAGGAACACCGAUGGCGAAGGCAAUCCCCUGGGCCUGUACUGACGCUCAUGCACGAAAGCGUGGGGAGCAAACAGGAUUAGAUACCCCCGUAGUCCCUGUCUCUUAUAC
rnacentral:rRNA from 1 species